rnacentral:rRNA from 1 species
UACGAAGGGGGCUAGCGUUGCUCGGAAUCACUGGGCGUAAAGCGCACGUAGGCGGGUUGUUAAGUCGGGGGUGAAAUCCUGGAGCUCAACUCCAGAACUGCCUUCGAUACUGGCGACCUAGAGUCCGGGAGAGGUGAGUGGAACUCCGAGUGUAGAGGUGAAAUUCGUAGAUAUUCGGAAGAACACCAGUGGCGAAGGCGGCUCACUGGCCCGGUACUGACGCUGAGGUGCGAAAGCGUGGGGAGCAAACAGG